GCGGGUGUCGUAUAACGGCUAUUAUGUUUCCUUCCCAAGGAAGAGACGAGAGUUCGACUCUCUCCACCCGCACCA
rnacentral:tRNA from 1 species